rnacentral:rRNA from 1 species
CCUACGGGGCGCAGCAGUGAGGAAUAUUGGUCAAUGGGCGCAAGCCUGAACCAACCAAGUCGCGUGAGGGAUGACGGUCCUAUGGAUUGUAAACCUCUUUUGUCGGGGAGCAAGGCCCGCCACGUGUGGCGGGAAGGAGAGUACCCGAAGAAAAAGCAUCGGCUAACUCCGUGCCAGCAGCCACGGUAAUACGGGGGAUGCGAGCGUUAUCCGGCUUUAUUGGGUUUAAAGGGUGCGUAGGCGGGAGGUUAAGUCAGCGGUAAAAUGUCGGUGCGCAACACCGGCCUGCAGUUGAAACUGGUCUUCUUGAGUGAGCGAGAAGUAUGCGGAAGGCGUGGUGUAGCGGUGAAAUGCAUAGAUAUCACGCAGAACUCUGAUUGCGAAGGCAGCAUACCGGCGCUCAACUGACGCUGAGGCACGAAAGCGUGGGGAUCGAACAGGAUUAGAUACCCUAGUAGUC